UUGCUUUGGCAGCACAUAUACUAAAAUUGGAAUGAUCAGAGAAGAUUAGCAUGGCCCUGGUGCAAGGAUGACAUAGAAAUUCAUGAAGCAUUCCCUGUUUUU
ensembl:snRNA U6 U6 spliceosomal RNA